rnacentral:rRNA from 1 species
GUGCGGUGUCAGCCGCCGCGGUAAUACGGAGGGUGCAAGCGUUAAUCGGAAUUACUGGGCGUAAAGGGCGCGUAGGCGGUUUGGUAAGCGAGUUGUGAAAGCCCCGGGCUCAACCUGGGAAUGGCAAUUCGAACUGCCAGGCUAGAAUGCAGCAGAGGGCAGUGGAAUUCCAGGUGUAGCGGUGAAAUGCGUAGACAUCUGGAGGAACACCAGUGGCGAAGGCGACUGCCUGGGCUGACAUUGACGCUGAGGUGCGAAAGCGUGGGUAGCAAACAGGAUUAGAAACCCCAGUAGUCC